GGGGAAGUCGGAUAGCGGUCUAUUCCGCCAGCUUCAGGUUCUCGAAAACGCUGGUCCCGCAAGGGGCGUGGGUUCGAAUCCCACCUUCCUCA